UACGUAGGGUGCGAGCGUUGUCCGGAAUUAUUGGGCGUAAAGGGCUCGUAGGCGGUCUGUCACGUCAGGAGUGAAAACUCGGGGCUCAACCCCGAGCCUGCUUCUGAUACGGGCAGACUGGAGGUAUGCAGGGGAGAACGGAAUUCCUGGUGUAGCGGUGAAAUGCGCAGAUAUCAGGAGGAACACCGGUGGCGAAGGCGGUUCUCUGGGCAUUACCUGACGCUGAGGAGCGAAAGUGUCGGGGAGCGAACAGG
rnacentral:rRNA from 1 species